AAAACCCAAACAACGACUAGAUAAAUCAUUCCAAUUCCAAAGUUUCUGUUUUUUUUUUCCUUUUUUAAUCUUCACCAUUACAAAUCAAAUCCUCAUUCAAAGAAGAAAAACUCAAAAUAUUGGGUAGCCAAAUUCUGGAAAAAUGUGGAAGCUUUUCUAACAGAGGAAGAAACAAACGGUGGAGAAAAAAAAAGUUAGAGACUUUAGAAUUUUCCGAAGCUUUUGGGUUCCUCUUUGAUUUUUUUCAAUCGCCGGAAAAUUGUGGAAGCUUGUUUGAAAAAAGUUGGAGACUUUGGAAAAGUUCAUGAUCAAGUACUAAACCGUAAAGGCACAAACUUUAUAACAUCAAGGUCAGAUGGAGCAAGAGAAGCUCACUAAGGUGAGUCGUCAGCUUGAGCGGAAGCUAACACGAGCGGAAAAAGACAAAAUCUUUUGCUCGGUUUUAUAUAUUUUUAGGUAGUGGAAAUCAAGAAUGGAAGAAGAUUUGGAGUGGGAUCCAUCCCUUUUGAAGAGGUGUGCCAAAGUUCAAAUACACAAUUGUACGAGGAAAAUUAUCGAGUAACACAAGAGAAACAUGUCCAGAUCCAAAAAGAUCAUUCUAAAAAGAUUAAAGACUUCGACCGUAUAUUAAAAGAUGUCGCAUUUUGGAAUUCUAAAAUGUCCCAGCUUUAUCCAAAUUUGGUUCCACCAUCUCGCAGAAACCAAGCGGACGCCACCAAUCCCGCUAAUGUUUAAAUUUUUAUUUUGUUUUUCUUAAAAAUAUUUUUGGUAAACUAUUUUAUUAAAACCUUUUAUGAAUAUUUUUAUUUUUACUUUAUUUUUAUGAAUAUGUGUUUAAAUUUUUGACAAAGUGUUUAAUUUCUGAUCACUUCUCGACAACAUCGUUUUUAAUAUCUUCGUCCGACAAUCUAUACCCACUUUUGUCAGAAAGUAGAAGAUAUGACCACUUUCCUCCUCAGCCUUGUUGGAAUGGCGUCAAAAAUGUUUUGAUGGAUUUUCGACUAUAUUUUCAAAGAAACGGAAAGUUCUGAAGAAUAUUUGUUUCCGACCGUUGAGCUUCCCGGCGACUCGGGUUUUGUUGCGAAUUCAUCAAAAAACCCUUGUUUCGACGAAUUUUUGACUAAUAUUAUCGUUGGAUUAUGCUAUGUUUUCUUGUAGUAAAUUUGUAUGAGUUUCAUAUUAUUAGAUGUUUUACUUUUCUGAACAUAAUUUUAGUGAAAA